rnacentral:lncRNA from 1 species
GUUUGCUCAGCGCAGAGCAGAGCAGCUGAGGGGAGGCCUGAUGGCGGCUGCAGCUCCUCACAGGGAGCGGAGGGGCCUGAGGGAGCAGCGUGGAGCUGCAUCAGGGGAGGGCCUGGUUUGGGAUUAGGGAAAAGCUCUUAGCCAAAGGGCGGUGGGCAUGGCCCAAAACUGCCAGGGUUCAAGGGGCAUUUGAACAAUGCUGUCAGACAUAGGUGGUCCUGUGUGGAGCCGGGAGCUGGACUGGAUGAUCCUUGUGUGACCGUUCUGAAUCAGGACACUCCAUGAUUCUGUGAUUCAAUGAGAACAGUCAUUCAUUAGAGCUGUCCGGUGUCAUAAGCUGUCAUAAGCUAUCAUAAGCUGGUCCUAACCGUAAAUGUUUAAGUCAGAUCAGGCAUUUUGCUGUGUCUUUGGGCUAAGCUAAAGCACUUCUACAACUUUAAACAGGAAUUCAAUUGAGUGAUGAUGGAAGAACUGCAGCAGCAGUACUCUAUAACUUUGUCAUUUAUUUAUCCCUUGUAGUGACUCUGAUCCUGAUAAUUCUACACAAGAAACCAGCACAGGCCCCUCUUUGUAGGAAAAGUGCUGGAUCAUCUUCAGCUAACACUGGUUAUCACAUCACUGGACAGUGCAUAAACCAUAGAAAAAUGUGAAAAGGCACAAAACUGAGGGGCUGUUCACUCCUUCAACAUGCUGCAAACCUUUAAUGUUCACCAGAUUUUAGUCAGCUUGUGCUCUACAUGGAUUAAUAUUUGAUAAAAGCAGCCUAUUUUAAUCAAUUGAGCAGCUGUGUUGUAUGUGCAGUUGAAGUCUGAGGGAUGCUAGCCACAUCACGUUUCACUACAGAUCUUUAAUAUCAAAAAACAUUUCCAUCUUCCUGAGUAACAGCAGUGUCAUUUAUAUUGCAAAAAGCUAUGGACCGCCAUGCAAACUGCCAGUAAAUGUCUUCCUAUCUCUUGAACAUGGGCUUUAACACACAGGGAAAACAGGCAACAGAAAACAGAGUGUAACAGAAAUAACACAACGUCCUCUUCAGCAAAGCACAGCGUGGUUUGCUGCUAUUCAAGGCCAAAUCUUCCUGUCCCAAACUGAAGUGCAAAGAAUACUGCUGCACAAAUAAACCCUCACAAGGACUCA